UUUUUUUGCCACUAAAUCCUGUGAAGUCACUCUUAUUGUUUUAACCAAAACAGCUGCCUGCUUUAUAUCACAUUGAUGUUUAUAUAAUCCACAUGGUACACUGCUAAUUUAUUCUCUCUAAUACACUAAAGCUACAGUGGAAAUUUCAACACAAAAAGGCACACUUAAAACCACGAUCAAAAUACAAGUUCUAAUCUACAUCAUGCAGCAUCAUCCUCAUGGAGAAGCAUCUGAUCGAAGUGCCAAACUCCAUGGCCUUUAC
rnacentral:misc_RNA from 1 species